rnacentral:rRNA from 1 species
UACGAGGGGGGCAAGCGUUGUUCGGAAUUAUUGGGCGUAAAGGGCGCGUAGGCGGCUCAUGAAGGCUGUGGUGAAAGUCCGGGGCUCAACCUCGGAUCGGCCGUGGCGACUCGUGGGCUGGAGCACUGUAGAGGCGGGUGGAAUUCCGGGUGUAGCGGUGGAAUGCGUAGAGAUCCGGAAGAACACCAGUGGCGAAGGCGGCCCGCUGGGCAGUGGCUGACGCUGAAGCGCGACAGCGUGGGGAGCAAACAGG